rnacentral:snoRNA from 1 species
AAGACUACGCUUUCAGGAAUCAUCUUUAUAGUUCAUUGCUAGAGAAUUAGAAUUUUUCUUGAGUGGGUAUUAUGCUCUUCUUGUACCCAUAAGCCACGAGGGAGAGGAAUAGUGUUCCUUACUGAGUGUGAAGCCAAUUCUUGGCAGUGUGUUUUUUCUUUGUAACUGCCAUUGGUUGUUGAUGAUCUAUUUUCUCAUUAUCUGAGAGAGUGAAAAAAAGUUAUAUGAGUGGC